rnacentral:misc_RNA from 1 species
GAUGAAGAACGUAGCGAAAUGCGAUACGUAAUGUGAAUUGCAGAAUUCAGUGAAUCAUCGAAUCUUUGAACGCACAUUGCGCCCCUUGGUAUUCCAUGGGGCAUGCCUGUUCGAGCGUCAUUUGUACCCUCAAGCUUUGCUUGGUGUUGGGCGUCUUGUCGUAUUACGACUCGCCUUAAAUACAUUGGCAGCCGGCACUUUGGCCUAGGAGCGCAGCACAUUUUGCGAUCGUAGCCCGUUGUACUGGCGUCCAUCAAGAACAUUUACCACGUUUGACCUCGGAUCAGGUAGGGAUACCCGCUGAACUUAAGCAUAUCAAUAAGCGGAGGA